rnacentral:rRNA from 1 species
UAAGCGGAAGAAAAGAAACUAACAAGGAUUCCCCUAGUAACUGCGAGUGAAGCGGGAAAAGCUCAAAUUUGGAAUCUGGUGGUCUUUGGCCAUCCGAGUUGUAAUUUAGAGAAGCGUCUUCCGCGCUGGACCGUGCACAAGUCUCCUGGAAUGGAGCGUCAUAGAGGGUGAGAAUCCCGUCUUUGGCAUGGAAUCCCAGGGCUUCUGUGAUGCGCUCUCGACGAGUCGAGUUGUUUGGGAAUGCAGCUCAAAAUGGGUGGUGAACUCCAUCUAAAGCUAAAUAUUGGCGAGAGACCGAUAGCGAACAAGUACCGUGAGGGAAAGAUGAAAAGCACUUUGGAAAGAGAGUGAAACAGUACGUGAAAUUGUUGAAAGGGAAACGCUUGAAGUCAGUCGCGUCGACCGAGACUCAGCCUUGCCUCGGCUUGGUGUACUUCUCGGCUUGACGGGUCAGCAUCGAUUUCAAUCCUCGGAUAAUGGCAAGGGAAAGGUAGCACCUUUUUAGGUGUGUUAUAGUCCUCUGUCGCAUGCGAGGGUCGGGAUCGAGGAACUCAGCACGCACCUCAGGGUGUCGGGGCCUUGGCCCACGUUUACGUGCUUAGGAUGCUGGCGUAAUGGCUUUAAACGACC